rnacentral:lncRNA from 1 species
GCGGGAGACAAGCCCUAUCAGCACAUCCCAGAAAAUGGGAAACCGAAUCACCCAGGGGAUGGCAAGGAAUGACCAGAGGGAAAGUUCCAGUUCUGUCCACCAUGCACUACCAGCCCCAUUUUGGAAAAGAACAGAUUUAAUAGACCUCACCAAGACAAGAAUUGUUUUUCGUCAAAGGAAAUCAAAGAAACAAACAAGAGGCAGUGACCACCAGAGACUUCACCUUUUGGUGUAGGAAAACCCAAGCAGACAGUGUCUACAGCCAUCAAAGCCCAAAGUAUUAAAUAUUUAUUGAAUAAGAACCCACGGACUCUUCCUAACCAGAGCCUUAGAUUGCCAUGUGCGUCUGAUUGCUCCAAAGACAGACUAUUGUGAUUUUGGCCCCAUAUGCAUUUUAGAGUAACAAGUCUUACCAGAAAAAUAAUAGCCAGCCCCAGCUUAAUUCCUAGAGAAACUCAAACCACCUUGUUAAGAACAAUCCCAGAGGAGAGUUUAUACUAAGGAGCACUACACAAUGCUGUUUGCCAUCUCUGGGCCCUCUAAAAGCAAGCCCAACCUUGGAAAAGGAAUGUCUGCCACCAGGGAAACGUGGCUGCACUGCUCGAGGAAGAACUUGAUCAUGACGGGCAAUGCUUGGAAGUAAAGAAGCAUCUGCUGCCUUGGAAAGAGAGCAAGAGGCGGUGUCUUCCAGAAGUCGGUGUGGGCAGCACCAAACCAUCCACCAUGUAUCAGAGAAAAGCCAGAGAGCUGGAAGGCUCUAUUCCCAGGCCACUCUCCAGUCCUCAAACAUGUCACCAUCUCUCAUGCCUCCUUACUGGGCCCAUGCUGUCCCCUUGACCAGGAAUGUCCUCCACCCCCAUCCCAUCCCCAUAGCCCCCUUCACUGUAAGAUCUGGGCCCAGCAAAUUGCCCAGCUCCUCUUCUCUGAAUGCUUCUUUAAUGUCUCUGAGAAGGAGUUCCUUCCUCCUUUACUGUCCAUCUCUUCCACCACAUGAGGGGUUUGGGGGAGCUCUUUGAAGACAAGGGACCCUUCCUCAUUCAUAUUUGAAUACUGGGCCCAAGCACGCGCCCCUAGCAUCUGCAAUACACACAUGUCAAGGUGAAUGGGGAGAUAGAUGCCAAGAUCCUUGAGCGCUGCAAAUCUUCACUGCCAACUUCAACUACUCCAA